rnacentral:misc_RNA from 1 species
UACUUAUAACAACAGCUAACUUAGCAAGAGACAAAGUAAAAUUUAUUGGCAAAUUUUUGGUUUAAUAGCAUUUAUUUCCUUGGAAUAAUUUGUGGUAAUUGUAAUAAGUGUUUAUAUACAUAUAUAGUUUUAUUGGCAAAAGGCUAUUGGCCAGCUAUAUUAUUGUGUGUUAAAAUUUGAUUGAAAUAACAUAUUUAACAUGUCUAGCGAAGACCAAAGUAUUGAUUCCAGCGAAAGUAUGGACGAAAAGCUGUUCAAAUAUACUUCGAGCUCACAGAAAAAAUCUAAAAAAGAAAAGAAACAUAAAAAAUCAGGUAAAAGCGAAAAAUCUCAUAAGAAGCAUAAAAAGUCAAAAAAGCGACAUCACAAACACAGCGAGUCUUCAAUUUCCGAAGAUGCUGGUAAUCAGCGUCGUAGUGGAGCUUUAAAUGAGAAAUUUACCGAAAUUAUGUAUAAAGUUACCAAAGAUGUUACGUCAGUUAACCGGAGUGAUCAGUCAAACGGAGGUAGGUUUGGUAUCACGAAAACUCAUAUUCAAACAGACCCUGGCAGCCUGGUAGAAGAGAUUACUAAGACGAUACAAAAUAAUAUCUUGCCAACAAUGGAAGUAGCGUCUUCUGGUAGCGAAAGUGAAGUACCAAAUGACGUCGCUAGCCCAGAUGUAGCAAUUAUAGAAGAUGAGCUUAAUCUUGAUGAACUGAUGAAACAAAAAGCUCUACUUCAAGCACGCUUAGGUGCAUAUUUGUCAGAGUCUGAUGGUGAAAGUAGCCAAUCCAAUAAUGAAUCAACAGCAAACCACAGCCAACGUAAAGAAAUCGUUAACACAAUAGUAUGCGAUGAUAAAAUGAAGACCGAUACCCACCGAUCAGUUAAGAAGCGGUCAUUGUCCUCUUCGUCAACAACUAGUAAAAAUGUUAUUAGUAAACAUAGUAAAAAACAUAUUUCAAAUGAACCCGAUGUUAUAUUAUUGGAUGAUUCUAGCGGUGGUCAACGUACUCCAGAGGCAAAACGUAAACCUUCACGUCAACCACAUGUGAUCAACAAAGACGAUCGUGUGCUGUCACCACGGAGAAGGUCCGCAACGGAGCACUACCACCACAAUCGCCAUUCUCUAAACGAUUCACAACCGCCACGUCGCCAUAGUUCACGAGACCGGCAUUCAACUCUUGUUAAGCGCAGCCGUAGUCGAUCUCAGCGUCGUGAUUCAGAUCCUCAACGGCGUCGUGAUGAUAGUCAUAGCCGUGGUCGGCAACGGCGUGAUAUGCAUGAUCAAAACCGAAAUAAGGAAGAUCUUCGACUGGAGAUAAACAGAGACAAACGCCGCGAAAGAGAGAACAGUCGUGACCGCCGAGGGCGAGACGAUCGAAAUAAACAGACGGAUCGCGGAGGUGGAUGCACUUUUGGUAAUAUUCGUGGACGCGAGCGUGAACGAGAACGUGAUAGAGAUCGUAGAAUGCGAUCUCACAGUCGCAGUAAAGUUGAGUCGGACAGACGUCGGGUUGAACGGGAACGACAGCGCGAAGGAAAAAACGACAGAGAUGGAUGGAAAGGUGAGGAUCGCGGACGUGAUCGUGAGAGGGACCGUUACCGCGGUUCUCUUAGCGAAGGUCAAAAAGCUGAAGUCAAAGAUACAAGCAGUGAAGAUGACAACUUAGAUAUUGACAUCAAUGAAGACGAAGAUGAAGAGGAGAGAAUAAUUGAAAUGCGACGAAAACAACGCGAAGAAUUAUUGAAAAAACUUGGUAAUAAAAAAGAAGCAUCACCACCUAAUAAUAUUACACAUUAUCGAAGGGAAGACAGUAUACCGAGAAAAGAGAGUGGUAAGGACUAUGAGCCUUUGGCUGACAAUUCUCCAGCUAAAUCGACGCCUGAUGUGGAAUCAAAUAUUAUGGAAGAUAAUGAUUUAGACGAUGAGAAAAAAACUAAAACAUCAGUAAAAGAGAAACGCCCUGAAUGGGAUAUGUUUGCAGAUCAAGACGUGGACUCAAACUUUGAUUCCCCUGGCGCAAUAAUCUUGAAUAAAACACAGCAUGAAAACCCGGCAUUAACAGAUAAUUGGGAUGACGCCGAAGGUUAUUAUCGGGUGCGUAUAGGAGAAAUUCUGGACAACCGUUAUGUUGUUAGCGGCUAUACAGGACAGGGUGUUUUUAGUAACGUAGUGAGAGCACGGGAUCAAGCGCGAGGAAAUGCUAAUGUUGCUGUUAAAAUUAUUCGUAAUAAUGAAAUAAUGCAUAAAACUGGUCUGCGUGAACUGGAAAUUCUUAAAAAAUUAAAUGAUGCCGAUCCAGAGGAUCGCUUCCAUUGUUUAAGGCUUUUCAGACAUUUUUUCCAUAAGCAGCAUCUCUGCAUGGUGUUUGAGCCACUAUCUAUGAAUCUUCGAGAAGUGCUUAAAAAAUAUGGUAAAAAUGUUGGCUUACAUAUAAAGGCGGUGCGUAGUUAUACUCAGCAGUUAUUUUUGGCGCUUAAACUACUUAAAAAAACUGGCAUACUUCACGCUGAUAUUAAGCCCGAUAACAUUCUAGUGAAUGAAAAUAAUUUGUGUCUGAAACUUUGCGAUUUUGGAUCUGCAUCGACCAUUAACGAUAAUGAAAUAACACCAUAUUUAAUAUCGCGUUUCUAUCGUGCACCAGAAAUAAUAUUGGGCAUAAAUUAUGAUUACGGUAUCGACAUGUGGUCAGCUGGUUGUACCAUUUAUGAGCUAUAUACUGGCAAAAUUCUCUUCAGUGGAAAAAGUAACAACCAAAUGCUAAAGUUCUUCAUGGACUUGAAAGGAAAAAUACCGAACCGCAUCAUUCGCAAGGGUCAAUUCAAGGAUCAACAUUUUGAUCAAAGCUGUAAUUUCCUUUAUCACGAAAUUGACAAAAUUACAGAACGGGAAAAAAUUGUCGUUAUGCCUGUGAUAAAAGCUGCACGAAAUUUACAACAAGAGCUAGUGGCUGAUCAGAAUUUACCAGAUGACCAACUGCGUAAAGUGACACAAUUGAAAGAUUUAUUAGAUAAUAUGUUUGCACUAGAUCCAUCGAAACGAAUCUCUUUAAAUCAGGCGCUUACGCAUCCUUUCAUUCAAGAAAAGAUGUAAACGACCAUUUAAGCAAAACAAUUUGUCGCAUUUUAUUAAACCGACAUGAGGUGUAAGAGUGAACUAUGGACGCCGAUACAUCGGGCAAACAUACAACAAUAAUGACGCUGUGCCUCAUUAGAUUAGAAAAAGCGCAGACGUGCUGAUUGAUGACCAUCAAUUUAUACAUUUCGUGACGAACGCGAACUCAGCAUGUAUUUUGUUUAUUGCCCUGGCGGCUGUUACACAGCGAUGAUAAUACUAUAAAGUAAAAUGAAUGUUUAAAAAUUGUAGUUAUUUCAUCGGCAGUUUUAAGGAUUCAUCAAUUGAUUUCGUACGUUUGAGGAAGACUUUCGUGGGGUGAGAGGAGAUCUUUUGGUAAAGUACAAAUUUUGAGGUAAAUUAUGUUGGGCAGGAAAAGCGAUAUUACAUCAUACACACACAUACUAAAACUGAAUAAAUACACAUAUACAUGGGAAUACUAAAAUAUAUUUGGCCAAUAUGCAUUACACAUUUUGUGAUGCAAAGGAAUUAUAUAUGUAUGUAAAA